UACGGAGGGUGCGAGCGUUGUCCGGAAUCAUUGGGCGUAAAGGGCGCGUAGGUGGCUUCUUAAGCGUGCGGUGAAAGCCUGGGGCUCAACCCCGGGUCGGCCGUGCGAACUGGGGGGCUGGAGCACUGUAGAGGCAGGCGGAAUUCCGGGUGUAGCGGUGGAAUGCGUAGAGAUCCGGAAGAACACCGGUGGCGAAGGCGGCCUGCUGGGCAGUUGCUGACACUGAGACGCGAAAGCGUGGGGAGCGAACCGG
rnacentral:rRNA from 1 species